rnacentral:pre_miRNA from 1 species
UUCAAGUAAUGAGUAGAAACAUUUAGAAGAGUUCGGUUACGCAAUAAUAAUGAUAUCUCUGAAAGUUGAAUUUGUAUUUUGCUUGAAAGUAUUUAAUUUUUGUAAAUGUUUUUACUCAUUAUUAGGUC